rnacentral:rRNA from 1 species
UCAGGACGAACGCUGGCGGCGUGCUUAACACAUGCAAGUCGAACGGGAGUAUUGAAGAAGCUUGCUUAGAGAUACUUAGUGGCGGACGGGUGAGUAACGCGUGAGGAGCUGUCCUAUGCAGGGGGACAACAGCUGGAAACGGCUGCUAAUACCCCAUAAGCCGAGAGGUAAAAGGAUCAAUCCGGCAGAGGAGGUACUCGCGUCCUAUCAGCUAGUAGGUGAGGUAACGGCUCACCUAGGCGAAGACGGGUAGCCGGCCUGAGAGGGCGAACGGCCACACUGGAACUGAGAUACGGUCCAGACUCCUACGGGAGGCAGCAGUGGGGAAUAUUGGGCAAUGGGGGAAACCCUGACCCAGCGACGCCGCGUGGGUGAAGAAAUCCUUCGGGAUGUAAAGCCCUGUUGUAUGGGAAGAGCGGAAGACGGUACCAUACGAGGAAGCCCCGGCAAACUACGUGCCAGCCGCAGC